UUAAAGCCUGUACCGCCCCGCCUGUACGUUUUGCGUUACGAAACUGUCAAACGUCUGUAGCUGUCAACAAAGAUUGUCAAUUUUAUUGUUAAGUAGUGUUAUUAUCGCUGAUUGUAUUGAAUUAUUUGUUUAUUUCUUGUUACAAGUGAUUUGCCGACUUUACAAGUUACUGUAAUUUUCGUACGAUAAAUGAAACUGCACACGCAAAUUUGUUAAAACAAUUUUCAUGACUCACUUAACUUUAAUGUUACAGAACUGGGUGAUAAAUCAUUUCGAAAGCAGAAACCCCCUGGGGCUUAUCCUUCAAGGAAGGACCAAGUUUAUUGAUUUUAUUUUCGGUUGGGUUUGUUGUAGGGUUCGCUUGCCCUAUUUUGUCCCUAAAAAUAUCCUUAGGUCAUCAGCUAAAGAUAAUAUUAUUUGUAGAUUCUGUAAUAUGCUUCAGUAUAAAUUAAUAGCAUCUAUGUGAACCUGUGGCCUCGAGACACUUUCUUGCUGUGAAAAUAAAUGACCACAAAAUUCAGAAGACGCAUGACGAUCAAUCAUCAGCAUCAUUGCGUGUUAUCUUACUAUAAAUAAUAAAUAUAUUGCGAAGCAUUUCAAUUUCAAUAAAAUAAUUUUUUAAUUUUCUUCACAUUUUUGUAAUGCUAUAAAUCACUUAAAUUGCAUGCAAUACUAUCGAUAUUACCAAUUAUAACCAUUGAAAAACGUCUAACCAAUUUGCUUUACAAUUUAACAGGUUAUCAAAUUCACAUUGGAGACGAUCAGAAGUUCGUAUGCAAAUUUUGUGGAAAAACAUUUUCAUCGAAACGCAAUGUUGUGAGGCACAUUCAAUGCAAUUGCAGUCAAAUCGAACCGUUACAGAAACUGUAUUGUAGCUAUUGUUCGUACGUGUGUACCCGAAUGGAUAAUUUCAAUGCUCACAUGAAGUCACACUACGCCAAAGGAUGGACUUUUAGUCAAUUAGAACAAUAUGACAAAAAGUAUUACUAGCGUCGUGUAGGAGCGUCGUCGUUUGUGUAGUAAACUCAUUUUAACUUUGUGGUUUUGUCAUUCAUUCAUUAGAACAACUAAAAAGUUAAAAUGAGAACAGUGUACACUGUACAAUGAGUUGAGUACGUAAUUGAUUCCUUUUGGAUAAUUUUUUUGUUCAUUGUAACUUCCGUGGACCACGCAUCAGAUGAACAUGGGAGUUCACAAUUUUGCAGGGGUUUAUUUAUAAAAAGAAAAAAAAGCAAACAAAUAAAGUGACUCGAACUGA